GGAUGAACGCUGGCGGCGUGCCUAAUACAUGCAAGUCGAACGCUUUGUGGUUCAACUGAUUUGAAGAGCUUGCUCAGAUAUGACGAUGGACAUUGCAAAGAGUGGCGAACGGGUGAGUAACACGUGGGAAACCUACCUCUUAGCAGGGGAUAACAUUUGGAAACAGAUGCUAAUACCGUAUAACAAUGACAACCGCAUGGUUGUUAUUUAAAAGAUGGUUCUGCUAUCACUAAGAGAUGGUCCCGCGGUGCAUUAGCUAGUUGGUAAGGUAAUGGCUUACCAAGGCGAUGAUGCAUAGCCGAGUUGAGAGACUGAUCGGCCACAAUGGGACUGAGACACGGCCCAUACUCCUACGGGAGGCAGCGGUAGGGAAUCUUCCACAAUGGGCGAAAGCCUGAUGGAGCAACGCCGCGUGUGUGAUGAAGGGUUUCGGCUCGUAAAACACUGUUGUAAGAGAAGAAUGACAUUGAGAGUAACUGUUCAAUGUGUGACGGUAUCUUACCAGAAAGGAACGGCUAAAUACGUGCCAGCAGCCGCGGUAAUACGUAUGUUCCAAGCGUUAUCCGGAUUUAUUGGGCGUAAAGCGAGCGCAGACGGUUAUUUAAGUCUGAAGUGAAAGCCCUCAGCUCAACUGAGGAAUUGCUUUGGAAACUGGAUGACUUGAGUGCAGUAGAGGAAAGUGGAACUCCAUGUGUAGCGGUGAAAUGCGUAGAUAUGUGGAAGAACACCAGUGGCGAAGGCGGCUUUCUGGACUGUAACUGACGUUGAGGCUCGAAAGUGUGGGUAGCAAACAGGAUUAGAUACCCUGGUAGUCCACACCGUAAACGAUGAGUGCUAGGUGUUUGAGGGUUUCCGCCCUUAAGUGCCGCAGCUAACGCAUUAAGCACUCCGCCUGGGGAGUACGACCGCAAGGUUGAAACUCAAAGGAAUUGACGGGGACCCGCACAAGCGGUGGAGCAUGUGGUUUAAUUCGAAGCAACGCGAAGAACCUUACCAGGUCUUGACAUCCCUUGACAACUCCAGAGAUGGAGCGUUCCCUUCGGGGACAAGGUGACAGGUGGUGCAUGGUUGUCGUCAGCUCGUGUCGUGAGAUGUUGGGUUAAGUCCCGCAACGAGCGCAACCCUUAUUACUAGUUGCCAGCAUUUAGUUGGGCACUCUAGUGAGACUGCCGGUGACAAACCGGAGGAAGGUGGGGAUGACGUCAAAUCAUCAUGCCCCUUAUGACCUGGGCUACACACGUGCUACAAUGGCGUAUACAACGAGUUGCCAACCCGCGAGGGUGAGCUAAUCUCUUAAAGUACGUCUCAGUUCGGAUUGUAGGCUGCAACUCGCCUACAUGAAGUCGGAAUCGCUAGUAAUCGCGGAUCAGCACGCCGCGGUGAAUACGUUCCCGGGUCUUGUACACACCGC
rnacentral:rRNA from 1 species